CAAGCAACAACAUUGUCUGGCUGCAGAGCUCCUGGUGUCAUCUGGAGGUUUGCUACCUGCCUGGAUCUUCCACUAUGUGCCUGGGUCUUAUCUUGAUCUGACUGGACUGGAGCUGACUUCUGUUCUUAAGCACUGGGAGCAGGAGGAUGCUAAUGUUGGCGCAUCUUUCUUUUGACUGGAUUUGGAGGAUCUUCUACAGGCAGAACUGAUGGUACUUCAACAAGUUUAGAUGUCUUCUGAAUGUUGUCUCAGCUCUGUACAGCCAGGCAUCCAAAUGCUGCACUUGCACAUUUGAGGCAAUGUUGGAUUCCUUCAUCAACAUAAACCUUCUGUGAGAGAUGGCUUCUGAGGUAUGGGAAAUACUCAUAGUUCUCCAGAGUCUCACCAUGGAUCGGGAUUACCAGAGCUGGGACUGUUUAUUAGGAGCCUCUUGGUGGAGGACCUAGGUCUUCUGAAUGAAAGGAAAAAAAAAAACAACCACAGGUUCCACCUCCUCAUAAUUUCCCUCAGAAGGUUUCUGUGACCAGGUGGUUGAAACACCCUGCCACAAGAACGUGAAGAAGGUUAGAAGAAGAGACUUACCAGGAGACAACGAAGAAACCACGCCGAGCCAAGGUGGGGAAAAUGCUGCACUCCAACUGAUUAAGAAAAGCAGCUGGGGCCAUGCCAGUUCAAAGGCUGCCACAGCAAGCCCAGUUGCCAGAGUUCAAGACUAGGACAGGGAGAGUGGCACAGCUGGAGAAACGGAAAAGCUGCACUGAAAAAGAAAAAAGAGAAUAGCUGAGUCAGGGAGGCAGUGAAUCACAUGCUGCCAUGGGGAACACAGUUGAGAAGACGGAGAAUUUAAAUGGACACUGAGGAAGCGUCCAAUUUAAUUUAGUCUGCAUUGAACAUUUCUGAACUUAACAUUUAAUGCGGCUGUCUUGGGACUCAUGCAGGGAAAAAUGGGGCAAGCAGCCAGCCUAGAGGAGAAUCCCUCAAACAAGGAAUCCAAUAGACUAGGACUGGACCUUUAGUUCAGUAGGCAAGUAACAUCAAGCCUGGAAUAUCUGGUGUGGUUAGGGCAGGGUAUGGGAAUGAUGGAGCCCUGAGAGGAUAAGCUGUCCUCCUGAGCCUUAAUUGAUCCUUCUGUCUCCCCAAAAGAGUUUGGUACCUCUCUCAUUAACACCAAGAUGUGACAGGUGAUUUUUUUGGAAGAACAUAAUACUACAGUUCCAGUGGGAAGACAGCCCAGUACCAAGAGACACGUCACCAACCACUUACAGUUUCCCUAUGGUAAAAUUUGGUCUACUUGCUUUCUUUCAGUCUUCUUAUUUGCUUCACAAUGCAUAGAAAGAUACUUUGCUGGGAAGUAUCAAUAGCAUAUUGGACUGUUUGUGUGGACUGGAUUUUAAAAGACUAAACCUAAAUGAUCAUAACUGCUUCUUCAGAGUUUAUUGACUAUGUAGUAUCUGACGGGCCUUUCUCUUGUUAUAUUCAAUAUCCUAGUAUGUGAAAAUGUUAGAAAAUCAAUAAAUGGUGGGGAAAACGAUUGUUUCUUCAAGAAUGAAAAAACAGUGUUCAGUUAAACUGAGUAAUAAACUAACAGUUUGAUGAAUCAUGCAACCAUGGCAUUAAGAAUUCUGUAAUAAUUCUUCAAAAGUGAUGAGACAUGGUAAAGAAAUGAAAUAUGACUCUAGAGCGACCCCAGAGAGACUGUUCAGUUCAUUUUAAAAUAGCUGUUCUUUUUAACUCUUCCCUCACCUCUGUAGUGAGGGAAGUUAUAAUUCAGAGAUGCUCCCUAAGAAGAAACUGAGGGAAAUGAUUCCUCAGUUAGGGAGAAGAUAAGUAGAUAGAGAAAGACAAAAGGUCUUCAGAAGUUGCCUACAGCUCUACAAUCAAUGUUUGUUGUUUAAUUCUUCUCACACCUGUAUUUAUUGAACCCAGUGAUCACUACAACCUCCUCUUUGUCUAUCUGAACUGGUCAUUUUAUGUUCUCUUAUCCCACUGGUGGCUCUGCAUGAAGGGAUGUUUUUUGUAAUAUGAUCAUGGUGUGGUAUUCUCUAGGAAAGAGAUCCUGGUUUCUAAGGCACUCUGAGAUGUACAAAUGUAGAUUAAUAGAUGGUACAAGGAGAUCCCUUUACAAGUUGUAUAGCUAUGAGUUCAAGCAGAUGCAUAAUUUCAGGUUUAUACCAUGGUACCUAAUAUAAAAAUCUUGCCCAGAGAUCCUUUGUGACCAUUGCUCUUUUCAGGAAAGGUGAUGCAGUUAUGCUGGAUUUAAUCCCAUAUCAUUGAGAUCAGAAUGUAGUCUAAUGAAUUUUAAAUUAUAAAUAGCAAUUUGGAAAUGUAAGAAAGCUAAGCAUUCAUCCAGCAUCUUAUAUACUUGUCAUAUGCAAACCUUCAUGCCUGCUGUUCAAGGGAGCUCAAAAUCCCUUUCCAGGCUUUGACAUUGUUACAACCACAUGCCACGUGUUAUCAGUGGUAGAAAGUGAGAUCCUAGCCUCAAAAGUGCAUGCCAUUUCCACUUCACCAAAUGGAGUUAGUCAGAUAGCAUGAAUGUUCUUGCCACAAGAGAAAUAUUCAACACAUUUAGCCGAUGUGUUGUAUAAAUCCCAUGCUUUUCUUUGCUACUGUACAAUUUUUUUUCAGUUUCAAAUAAAAGCAUUUAACAUGGACCGUAUUGGCUAUAUAUAGUAUCUAUAAAAAGUUAGAUCACUUCUCUUAUACAUAGUGGAGCAUCUAAUACUUUUGUAUAUUCUGAGUUCUGAAGAUGAAAGAAACAUUCUGUAAGUUAUGAAGU